rnacentral:rRNA from 1 species
UGUAGCAAGGUUAACCGAAUAGGGGAGCCGAAGGGAAACCGAGUCUUAACUGGGCGUUAAGUUGCAGGGUAUAGACCCGAAACCCGGUGAUCUAGCCAUGGGCAGGUUGAAGGUUGGGUAACACUAACUGGAGGACCGAACCGACUAAUGUUGAAAAAUUAGCGGAUGACUUGUGGCUGGGGGUGAAAGGCCAAUCAAACCGGGAGAUAGCUGGUUCUCCCCGAAAGCUAUUUAGGUAGCGCCUCGUGAAUUCAUCUCCGGGGGUAGAGCACUGUUUCGGCAAGGGGGUCAUCCCGACUUACCAACCCGAUGCAAACUGCGAAUACCGGAGAAUGUUAUCACGGGAGACACACGGCGGGUGCUAACGUCCGUCGUGAAGAGGGAAACAACCCAGACCGCCAGCUAAGGUCCCAAAGUCAUGGUUAAGUGGGAAACGAUGUGGGAAGGCCCAGACAGCCAGGAUGUUGGCUUAGAAGCAGCCAUCAUUUAAAGAAAGCGUAAUAGCUCACUGGUCGAGUCGGCCUGCGCGGAAGAUGUAACGGGGCUAAACCAUGCACCGAAGCUGCGGCAGCGACGCUGUAUGCGUUGUUGGGUAGGGGAGCGUUCUGUAAGCCUGUGAAGGUGUGCUGUGAGGCAUGCUGGAGGUAUCAGAAGUGCGAAUGCUGACAUAAGUAACGAUAAAGCGGGUGAAAAGCCCGCUCGCCGGAAGACCAAGGGUUCCUGUCCAACGUUAAUCGGGGCAGGGUGAGUCGACCCCUAAGGCGAGGCCGAAAGGCGUAGUCGAUGGGAAACAGGUUAAUAUUCCUGUACUUGGUGUUACUGCGAAGGGGGGACGGAGAAGGCUAUGUUGGCCGGGCGACGGUUGUCCCGGUUUAAGCGUGUAGGCUGGUUUUCCAGGCAAAUCCGGAAUAUCAAGGCUGAGGCGUGAUGACGAGGCACUACGGUGCUGAAGCAACAAAUGCCCUGCUUCCAGGAAAAGCCUCUAAGCAUCAGGUAACAUCAAAUCGUACCCCAAACCGACACAGGUGGUCAGGUAGAGAAUACCAAGGCGCUUGAGAGAACUCGGGUGAAGGAACUAGGCAAAAUGGUGCCGUAACUUCGGGAGAAGGCACGCUGAUAUGUAGGUGAAGUCCCUCGCGGAUGGAGCUGAAAUCAGUCGAAGAUACCAGCUGGCUGCAACUGUUUAUUAAAAACACAGCACUGUGCAAACACGAAAGUGGACGUAUACGGUGUGACGCCUGCCCGGUGCCGGAAGGUUAAUUGAUGGGGUUAGCGCAAGCGAAGCUCUUGAUCGAAGCCCCGGUAAACGGCGGCCGUAACUAUAACGGUCCUAAGGUAGCGAAAUUCCUUGUCGGGUAAGUUCCGACCUGCACGAAUGGCGUAAUGAUGGCCAGGCUGUCUCCACCCGAGACUCAGUGAAAUUGAACUCGCUGUGAAGAUGCAGUGUACCCGCGGCAAGACGGAAAGACCCCGUGAACCUUUACUAUAGCUUGACACUGAACAUUGAGCCUUGAUGUGUAGGAUAGGUGGGAGGCUUUGAAGUGUGGACGCCAGUCUGCAUGGAGCCGACCUUGAAAUACCACCCUUUAAUGUUUGAUGUUCUAACGUUGACCCGUGAUCCGGGUUGCGGACAGUGUCUGGUGGGUAGUUUGACUGGGGCGGUCUCCUCCUAAAGAGUAACGGAGGAGCACGAAGGUUGGCUAAUCCUGGUCGGACAUCAGGAGGUUAGUGCAAUGGCAUAAGCCAGCUUGACUGCGAGCGUGACGGCGCGAGCAGGUGCGAAAGCAGGUCAUAGUGAUCCGGUGGUUCUGAAUGGAAGGGCCAUCGCUCAACGGAUAAAAGGUACUCCGGGGAUAACAGGCUGAUACCGCCCAAGAGUUCAUAUCGACGGCGGUGUUUGGCACCUCGAUGUCGGCUCAUCACAUCCUGGGGCUGAAGUAGGUCCCAAGGGUAUGGCUGUUCGCCAUUUAAAGUGGUACGCGAGCUGGGUUUAGAACGUCGUGAGACAGUUCGGUCCCUAUCUGCCGUGGGCGCUGGAGAAUUGAGGGGGGCUGCUCCUAGUACGAGAGGACCGGAGUGGACGCAUCACUGGUGUUCGGGUUGUCAUGCCAAUGGCACUGCCCGGUAGCUAAAUGCGGAAGAGAUAAGUGCUGAAAGCAUCUAAGCACGAAACUUGCCCCGAGAUGAGUUCUCCCUGACUCCUUGAGAGUCCUGAAGGAACGUUGAAGACGACGACGUUGAUAGGCCGGGUGUGUAAGCGCAGCGAUGCGUUGAGCUAACCGGUACUAAUGAACCGUGAGGCUUAACCU